rnacentral:lncRNA from 1 species
GGACUUGCAGAUGUGGUCAAGGAUUGUGGGGUGGAGAGUCAUCUAGAAUGAUCUGAGGGUGACCACUAAUCACAGAGUCCUUAUAAAUGAGGCAAGCAGGCUGAGAAUCAGAUCAGAUCUGUCGAUCUAAGUGGGGUGUGUCAUGGAGUAAGGUCCUGCGUCGAGGAGCAUAAGAAGCCUUAGAAGCUGGGAAGGCAACAAAACACUCUUCUCUCAAGCCUCCAGAGGGAUGCAGCCACACCAACAGCUUCACCUCAGACCCCAUGGAACUCAUUUUGGACUUUGACCUCCAGCACUGUAAAGGAGAAUCACAUAACUUCAGCUUCACUAACAAUUGUGAU